CCUACGGGAGGCAGCAGUGAGGAAUAUUGGUCAAUGGGCGUAAGCCUGAACCAGCCAAGUCGCGUGAGGGAUGAAGGUUCUAUGGAUCGUAAACCUCUUUUAUAAGGGAAUAAAGUCGGGGACGUGUCCUGUUUUGAAUGUACCUUAUGAAUAAGGAUCGGCUAACUCCGUGCCAGCAGCCGCGGUAAUACGGAGGAUCCGAGCGUUAUCCGGAUUUAUUGGGUUUAAAGGGUGCGUAGGCGGCCUUUUAAGUCAGCGGUGAAAGUCUGUGGCUCAACCAUCGGAUGGCCGUUGAAAUUGGGGGGCGUGAGUUUGUUGGAGGCAGGCGGAAUGCGUGGUGUAGCGGUGAAAUGCUUAGAUAUCACGCAGAACCCCGAUUGCGAAGGCAGCCUGCCAAGCCAUGACUGACGCUGAGGCACGAAAGCGUGGGGAUCAAACAGGAUUAGAUACCCCUGUAGUC
rnacentral:rRNA from 1 species